rnacentral:rRNA from 1 species
AUGGCUCAGGAUGAACGCUGGCGGCGUGCUUAACACAUGCAAGUCGAACGAAGCUCCUUGAACUGAUGAUUCGUCUGAUGGGAUAGGAAGACUUAGUGGCGGACGGGUGAGUAACGCGUGGGUAACCUGCCGUAUACAGGGGGAUAACAGUUAGAAAUGACUGCUAAUACCGCAUAAGCGCACAGUGAGGCAUCUCACAGUGUGAAAAAACUCCGGUGGUAUACGAUGGACCCGCGUCUGAUUAGCCAGUUGGCAGGGUAACGGCCUACCAAAGCGACGAUCAGUAGCCGGCCUGAGAGGGUGAACGGCCACAUUGGGACUGAGACACGGCCCAAACUCCUACGGGAGGCAGCAGUGGGGAAUAUUGCACAAUGGGGGAAACCCUGAUGCAGCCGACGCCGCGUGAGUGAAGAAGCAUUUCGGUGCGUAAAGCUCUAUCAGCAGGGAAGAAAAUGACGGUACCUGACUAAGAAGCCCCGGCUAACUACGUGCCAGCAGCAGC